GCCUUUCUUCUCCGGCCUCUCAACACAAAAUGGCCGCCGUCACCCGAGCUCGCCUCUUCUUACGUUACUGCUCUGCCCGAUGGCUGCGUAAGAAUACGUUUUCUUGUGUAAUAAGGUUAUUGAUGACAACGUGCAGAAAUGAAGUUGUUGAACAAGCCCCAAAGCUCAAGGCCUGGCUACAAAUUGUGCUUGGAAAACUCCUUGUGCUUUCCAUAGUGUCAGAAAUGUGCUUACUUAUUGGUGGGAUAGAGGUGUUCUGCAGACACUCGAAAGAGCUCUCUUUUUAUGAUCACUGUAAAUAUUCCAGGACUAUGACCUAGCAUGAAACGUGGCUCAAGUUUAGCUGCAAAAUGUGCUGCUUCCUUAGUUAAUGUAUGAUAAUAAUUUUUUACAAGAACACUCAAUUAUCAAGAAAACUCAAAUCAUCUAAUUUGCCACCAGUAUCUUUCACACUUGGGUUCAUACAAAUACAUGCUCUCACAUACCAUUAAAAAUGCAUUCUCAAAUGCUAUCUGCACCUUAAUGGGGAGAUUUAGCACUGAUGAUUAUUUCCAUAUAGUCAUUUGACCAUAGCAGCAGCAGAAGAAGUAAUAAUAAUAACAGAAAUGAAAUCCAGUACACAAUCCACAACAUACAACUAAUAGUACACUAGUAGGUGAGGCCUGACUUUGGCUAGGCAGAGACAUUCUGCACAGACUACACUGAAAGGGAAGUUCAAGAAAUUAAAUAUAUGUAAUAUGUUUAUAUGUUAUAAAUAUAUAAUAUAUGUUUAUUAAUGUGCUUGCAAAAGGGAAGUAAAAUAAGUUUGACAUCUGUAGGAUUUCAACUUCAAAUAUUCAUUUAAUUAAAUAAUAAUAUAAGGUAAACUUGAAUCAUAGUAAAGUCUGUUGAGAACAAUAACAAAAUCUGCUGAUUAUAUUCAGAAUUUCUUUCUUUCUAUCUUUUAAAAAUUAAUCUGUCCACCAGCAGAUUCCAGUGUAAAAAGCAGUGCAUUCAGAAGUGUGGUCCUUUCUCCAUAAAGCUUUGAAAGGACUGCAGCUUCCAAAGGUGUGGUCUUCAGAUCAUUCGGCUUCAGGCAUUCCAAAGCACAACCUUACUACAUACCGUACAUACAAGUAAAGUCAUAUCACUAAAGUUUCCUGAAGGAAAAUGCUGUGGUUUGUUAGGGAUAUUCUGAAAUGUCAGUUGUAAAUGUUUCAUAAUUUCUGUAGGUGUGUGUGACAUUUUAUUUAUAUGUGGUGUAUUUUGAUUUUUAUUGGAUGUUCUUGUAUUGCUUGAUACCUUUUUGUUAUGGUCAGAUGACUAAAUGUAAAUAGAAUAUAUCACUGUACAAAUAUAAAAGCUCUUACUGGA